rnacentral:ncRNA from 2 species
CAACCGAAUAGGGGGAGCUGCCAUACGGCGGCUGAGAGGGGACGAUGCGUCCCGACCCGGAACCUGAUUUGGGUAAUGCCAACGUAGGGAUAAACAUGCGCACAGCA